GGGCCCGUCGUCUAGCCUGGUUAGGACGCCGCCCUCACACGGCGGAGGUCCUGGGUUCGAAUCCCAGCGGGCCCACCA
rnacentral:tRNA from 2 species